ACACACACACACACACACACACACACACACACACACAGCUGUAAAGGCAUUUUUAAGUAACAUUUAUACAUUGUCAUACUAGUGCAAAAAUAAGUGAACCACUGGGAUAUACAGUCCAUACAAUCCAGUGCCAGAUGACAGUGCAAACAAACCAUUGCAGGUGCUCUCAAUGAAUCCAAACUUACUGUUACAGUGGUAACAUAAAAUACUUUUUAAGUAGUGCUCUUCCGUAAUAUGAUGCCCAUCGUUAAUAUUGCUGCGAUGGCCUGCGAUUCUAUGGAAAUCAUGUAUAGAAAGCUAAUGAAACCUUACUAUCCAACAAACUGGGAGACGUAAAAUGUAGCUACAACAUAUUCAAAUACAAAGCACAAAACUAAUGGUUUUUACUGUCACGCAGUAACGUAUCAUUCGGUGUCAUUCAUUAGAUACUUUCUGUCAAACCAUCAGUACCAUGACACACAACGGCGAAUUCAACCUGCAUGGUCUAUCAAUCAACACCACAAUAUUCUCCUAAAAAUACAUUGUGGCGGUUAAAGCGUUACCUCCUUCUUCUUUUGUCCUCCUCCAGACGGCAGCCAUAGCACAAAGAGGAAGAAAACACACAGGAUCGGAAGGUUAGCAAAAGAUUUUACCCAAACAGACGCCAUGACGGAAGGAUGCUCUGGCUGCGAGACACGUCUCUGCCAAGCGAUUGGACGCUGCUUUGACCAAUCAGCGUAAAGCGAUUAUUCGCACACACCUCUGGGGCAUCCAUUAAUGGAUUUGCUGCGCUGCUUUCCUCAAGUAAGUUUUACCAGCUGAAAAAAAUGAAUGAAGUCAGUUUUUUGUGUUUUGGUAUGUUAAAACAAACACGUUUGUACAGCAUGGCAUGGAUAAAUAAUGCAAUACA